rnacentral:sRNA from 1 species
CCCCCACCCAACCCCCUAGAUCUGCCCCCUCUAGAUCAAUACAUCAUUAUUGGAAGUGAGUACUAGAAGUCUCCAUCAACUUUUAAUAUGCUUUUUAAAAUUUUUCCAAUGUAUCAUUGGAUUUUUCAAAAGUUUUCAAUGGGAGGGGCCAUCCAGUUUGAAAUAUAUAUGCAGACAAUGCAGUACUGUACAAUAUAUGUAAUCUAGCUAUUUUAAACUUUAUAAUCACUCAGUAUUUGAAUCCUAGUCGUUAAAUCAAUUUACC